rnacentral:sRNA from 1 species
GCUGGGUGCAGUGGCGCACGCCUGUAGUCCCAGCUACUUGGGAGGCUGAGGUGGGAGGAUUGCUUGAGUCCAGGAGUUCUGGGCUGCAGUAUGCUAUGCCGAUCGGGUAUCCGCACUAAAUUCGGCAUCAAUAUGGUAACCUCCCGGGAGUGGGGGACCCCACCAGGUUGCCUAAGGAGGGGUGAGUCGGCCCAGGUCGGAAAAAAAAGAAAAGAAAAAGAAAUCUUUGCCUAUGCAGAGUCAUAAAGGUACUUUAAAAAAAAAUGUAUUUGGUUGUUGCAGGGUCUCACUACACAGCUUGAACUUGUGGUGAUUCUCCUGUUUU